rnacentral:rRNA from 1 species
UUGAACCGGUCCAGUCUCUACGGAGGCACCAGUGGGAUAUUUGCCAAUGGGGCCAACCCUAAUCAGCCAUCCCGGUGUAUGAAAAAGCCUUCGGGUUGUAAAGUCUUUCAGCAGUAGGAAAGUGGGUAUGUUAAUAGCAUACUCAUUUGACGUUAGCUGCAGAAGAAGCACCGGCUAAUUCCGUGCCAGCAGCCGCGGUAAUACGGAGGGUGCGAGCGUUAAUCGGAAUUACUGGGCGUAAAGCGCAUGCAGGUGGUUUGUUAAGUCAGAUGUGAAAGCCCGGGGCUCAACCUCGGAAUUGCAUUUGAAACUGGCAAACUAGAGUACUGUAGAGGGGGGUAGAAUUUCAGGUGUAGCGGUGAAAUGCGUAGAGAUCUGAAGGAAUACCGGUGGCGAAGGCGGCCCCCUGGACAGAUACUGACACUCAGAUGCGAAAGCGUGGGGAGCAAACAGGAUUAGAUACCCUGGUAGUCCACGCCGUAAACGAUGUCUACUUGGAGGUUGUGGCCUUGAGCCGUGGCUUUCGGAGCUAACGCGUUAAGUAGACCGCCUGGGGAGUACGGUCGCAAGAUUAAAACUCAAAUGAAUUGACGGGGGCCCGCACAAGCGGUGGAGCAUGUGGUUUAAUUCGAUGCAACGCGAAGAACCUUACCUACUCUUGACAUCUACAGAAGCCAGCGGAGACGCAGGUGUGCCUUCGGGAACUGUAAGACAGGUGCUGCAUGGCUGUCGUCAGCUCGUGUUGUGAAAUGUUGGGUUAAGUCCCGCAACGAGCGCAACCCUUAUCCUUGUUUGCCAGCACUUCGGGUGGGAACUCCAGGGAGACUGCCGGUGAUAAACCGGAGGAAGGUGGGGACGACGUCAAGUCAUCAUGGCCCUUACGAGUAGGGCUACACACGUGCUACAAUGGCGCAUACAGAGGGCGGCCAACUUGCGAAAGUGAGCGAAUCCCAAAAAGUGCGUCGUAGUCCGGAUUGGAGUCUGCAACUCGACUCCAUGAAGUCGGAAUCGCUAGUAAUCGUGGAUCAGAAUGCCACGGUGAAUACGUUCCCGGGCCUUGUACACACCGCCCGUCACACCAUGGGAGUGGGCUGCAAAAGAAGUGGGUAGUUUAACCUUCGGGAGGACGCUCACCACUUUGUGGUUCAUGACUGGGGUGAAGUCGUAACAAGGUAACCG